rnacentral:rRNA from 1 species
UACGAGAGGCCCAAACGUUAUUCGGAAUUACUGGGCUUAAAGAGUUCGUAGGCGGCGCAGCAAGUAGGGUGUGAAAGCCCUCGGCUCAACCGAGGAAUUGCGCCCUAAACUACUGUGCUUGAGGAAGCUAGAGGUGAGCAGAACUGAUGGUGGAGCGGUGAAAUGCGUUGAUAUCAUCAGGAAUACCGGAGGCGAAGGCGGCUCACUGGGGCUUUUCUGACGCUGAGGAGCGAAAGCGUGGGGAGCGAACAGG